UACAGAGGUCUCAAGCGUUGUUCGGAUUCAUUGGGCGUAAAGAGCGUGUAGGCGGCCAGGUAGGUCGGUUGUGAAAACUGGAGGCUCAACCUUCAGAGGUCGACCGAAACCAUCUGGCUAGAGUCCGGGAGAGGAGAGUGGAAUUCCUGGUGUAGCGGUGAAAUGCCGCAGAUAAUCAGGAAGAACACCCGUGGCGAAAGCGGCUCUCUGGAACGGUACUGACGCUGAGACGCGAAAGCGUGGGGAGCGAACAGG
rnacentral:rRNA from 1 species